UUAACCGACUGCGCCACCCAGGCGCCCCAAGUGUAGUAUCUUUUCUUGUCAGUUUAGUAUAUGACACGUCCUCUGUGGAGGACAAUAUACUGCAUUUUUGGAGCAGGGAGAAGGAAUAGGAGAGCUUGCUCCGUCUGCUGCACACAUUGUCCUUGUAUUGCACUACCUUCAGGAACGUUGCACCCCCU